rnacentral:tRNA from 1 species
UGGGGUGGUAGCUCAGCGGUCCAGAGCCCCUGACUCAUAAUCGGUGAGACCUGGGUUCGAAUCCCAGCCGCCCCAU